AACGCUAGCUACAGGCUUAACACAUGCAAGUCGAGGGGCAGCAUGGUCUUAGCUUGCUAAGGCCGAUGGCGACCGGCGCACGGGUGAGUAACACGUAUCCAACCUGCCGUCUACUCUUGGACAGCCUUCUGAAAGGAAGAUUAAUACAAGAUGGCAUCAUGAGUCCACAUGUUCACAUGAUUAAAGGUAUUCCGGUAGACGAUGGGGAUGCGUUCCAUUAGAUAGUAGGCGGGGUAACGGCCCACCUAGUCUUCGAUGGAUAGGGGUUCUGAGAGGAAGGUCCCCCACAUUGGAACUGAGACACGGUCCAAACUCCUACGGGAGGCAGCAGUGAGGAAUAUUGGUCAAUGGGCGAGAGCCUGAACCAGCCAAGUAGCGUGAAGGAUGACUGCCCUAUGGGUUGUAAACUUCUUUUAUAAAGGAAUAAAGUCGGGUAUGCAUACCCGUUUGCAUGUACUUUAUGAAUAAGGAUCGGCUAACUCCGUGCCAGCAGCCGCGGUAAUACGGAGGAUCCGAGCGUUAUCCGGAUUUAUUGGGUUUAAAGGGAGCGUAGAUGGAUGUUUAAGUCAGUUGUGAAAGUUUGCGGCUCAACCGUAAAAUUGCAGUUGAUACUGGAUAUCUUGAGUGCAGUUGAGGCAGGCGGAAUUCGUGGUGUAGCGGUGAAAUGCUUAGAUAUCACGAAGAACUCCGAUUGCGAAGGCAGCCUGCUAAGCUGCAACUGACAUUGAGGCUCGAAAGUGUGGGUAUCAAACAGGAUUAGAUACCCUGGUAGUCCACACGGUAAACGAUGAAUACUCGCUGUUUGCGAUAUACGGCAAGCGGCCAAGCGAAAGCGUUAAGUAUUCCACCUGGGGAGUACGCCGGCAACGGUGAAACUCAAAGGAAUUGACGGGGGCCCGCACAAGCGGAGGAACAUGUGGUUUAAUUCGAUGAUACGCGAGGAACCUUACCCGGGCUUAAAUUGCAGAUGAAUUACGGUGAAAGCCGUAAGCCGCAAGGCAUCUGUGAAGGUGCUGCAUGGUUGUCGUCAGCUCGUGCCGUGAGGUGUCGGCUUAAGUGCCAUAACGAGCGCAGCCCUUGUUGUCAGUUACUAACAGGUUCCGCUGAGGACUCUGACAAGACUGCCAUCGUAAGAUGUGAGGAAGGUGGGGAUGACGUCAAAUCAGCACGGCCCUUACGUCCGGGGCUACACACGUGUUACAAUGGGGGGUACAGAGGGCCGCUACCACGCGAGUGGAUGCCAAUCCCCAAAACCUCUCUCAGUUCGGACUGGAGUCUGCAACCCGACUCCGCGAAGCUGGAUUCGCUAGUAAUCGCGCAUCAGCCACGGCGCGGUGAAUACGUUCCCGGGCCUUGUACACACCGCCCGUCAAGCCAUGGGAGCCGGGGGUACCUGAAGUGCGUAACCGCGAGGAGCGCCCUAGGGUAAAACUGGUGACUGGGGC
rnacentral:rRNA from 1 species